rnacentral:rRNA from 1 species
GCAUAUCAAUAAGCGGAGGAAAAGAAACCAACAGGGAUUGCCCCAGUAACGGCGAGUGAAGCGGCAACAGCUCAAAUUUGAAAUCUGGCCCCCAGGGUCCGAGUUGUAAUUUGCAGAGGAUGCUUUUGGCGAGGUGCCUUCCGAGUUCCCUGGAACGGGACGCCAUAGAGGGUGAGAGCCCCGUCUGGUUGGACGCCGAGCCUCUGUAAAGCUCCUUCGACGAGUCGAGUAGUUUGGGAAUGCUGCUCUAAAUGGGAGGUAUAUGUCUUCUAAAGCUAAAUAUUGGCCAGAGACCGAUAGCGCACAAGUAGAGUGAUCGAAAGAUGAAAAGCACUUUGAAAAGAGGGUUAAAUAGUACGUGAAAUUGUUGAAAGGGAAGCGCUCAUGACCAGACUUGGGCCCGGUGAAUCAUCCAGCGUUCUCGCUGGUGCACUUUGCCGGGCUCAGGCCAGCAUCAGUUUGCCUCGGGGGAUAAAGGCUCUGGGAAUGUGGCUCCUCCGGGAGUGUUAUAGCCCACUGCACAAUACCCUGGGGCGGACUGAGGUUCGCGCAUUCGUGCAAGGAUGCUGGCGUAAUGGUCAUCAGCGACCCGUCUUGAAACACGGACCAAGGAGUCGUCUUCGUAUGCGAGUGUUCGGGUGUCAAACCCCUACGCGUAAUGAAAGUGAACGCAGGUGAGAGCUUCGGCGCAUCAUCGACCGAUCCUGAUGUUCUCGGAUGGAUUUGAGUAAGAGCAUACGGGGCCGGACCCGAAAGAAGGUGAACUAUGCCUGUAUAGGGUGAAGCCAGAGGAAACUCUGGUGGAGGCUCGCAGCGGUUCUGACGUGCAAAUCGAUCGUCAAAUAUGGGCAUGGGGGCGAAAGACUAAUCGAACCUUCUAGUAGCUGGUUUCCGCCGAA